GAUGAAGAACGUAGCGAAAUGCGAUAAGUAGUGUGAAUUGCAGAAUUCAGUGAAUCAUCGAAUCUUUGAACGCACAUUGCGCCCUUUGGUAUUCCUUAGGGCAUGCCUGUUCGAGCGUCAUUUAAACCUUCAAGCUCAGCUUGGUGUUGGGUGACUGUCCGCUUCACCGCGGACUCGCCUCAAAAUUAUUGGCGGCCGGUACAUUGGCUCUCGAGCGCAGCAGAAACGCGUAACUCGAGGUCCUCGUGCUGGCUCCCAGAAGCUAUCUUCACAAUUUUGACCUCGGAUCAGGUAGGGAUACCCGCUGUACUUAAGCAUAUCAAUAAGCGGAGGA
rnacentral:misc_RNA from 1 species